rnacentral:rRNA from 1 species
UCGGACGGGUGAGUAACGCGUGAGAAUCUACCUUCAGGUUGGGGACAACCACUGGAAACGGUGGCUAAUACCGAAUGUGCCGAGAGGUGAAAGGCUUGCUGCCUGAAGAAGAGCUUGCGUCUGAUUAGCUAGUUGGUAGUGUAAGAGACUACCAAGGCGACGAUCAGUAGCUGGUCUGAGAGGAUGAUCAGCCACACUGGGACUGAGACACGGCCCAGACUCCUACGGGAGGCAGCAGUGGGGAAUUUUCCGCAAUGGGCGAAAGCCUGACGGAGCAAUACCGCGUGAGGGAGGAAGGCUCUUGGGUUGUAAACCUCUUUUCUCAGGGAAGAACAGAAUGACGGUACCUGAGGAAUAAGCAUCGGCUAACUCCGUGCCAGCAGCCGCGGUAAUACGGAGGAUGCAAGCGUUAUCCGGAAUGAUUGGGCGUAAAGGGUCCGCAGGUGGCAUUGUAAGUCUGCUGUUAAAGAGUUUGGCUCAACCAAAUAAGAGCAGUGGAAACUACAAAGCUAGAGUGUGGUCGGGGCAGAGGGAAUUCCUGGUGUAGCGGUGAAAUGCGUAGAUAUCAGGAAGAACACCAGUGGCGAAGGCGCUCUGCUAGGCCGAGACUGACACUUGAGACGAAAGU